CACACAUGGAGAUGCAAGAUGUGUAUUGGGUUAUGCAUGUUUAUGGUUUACACAAAGCGUAUAAGGAAAGUUUAAGCAGUUGUACAAAGCCGAAGGGUUCUCCGACUUACGAUGGAUAAAUUGAGUGUCGUAAAAGCUUGGGUGCGAGCAAGUAGGAGGAGAAUUUCGAUCGAAGUACAGAUUUUUCUUGAAUUCGAGGAUAAUGAUGUUAUUACCAGCUGAUUAAGGAGGAGUAGUGUAAGUGUCAGAUGCGAGAUGGGUACGAACGUCAUCUUGUGACAGCAUCACCUUUGUUUGGCUAAAGUACAAGAGAACUGCAGCAUGUAAGACUACAUGUACAUCGACUUUGAAUAAUCUACCCGGUAUAUCCUCAAAAAGGCAACUCAAAUACAGAAAGUGCAUAUAAUUUGGAAAAGAGACCAUCAAUCCACUGGGGGGUAUCGCAUGAAAGCAAUGAUUAUAGAAUAUUGUAAGGUUGGAGGAGUUAUAGUACAACAGGCAGGCAAGUAAUGGUACUUUGUUCUGGAAAUUUUUCGCCCCAGUUAAGUUUUAUUUUUCUCAUUCUGCCCUCCUUACAAGUAGGUGAAUUUAAAACGGGACAAAUUCGAAGAAGGCAGCAUAUAUCUUUUAAACACAAAUGUGUCUGAUCAAAUUUUAAAAGGGCAAAAUUGUUUUCAAGGGUGAAAGAGUGAAUAUUUUAAAAAUUAGAAUGGGGUGAAAAUAUCCAAUAAUACAGGUUAUAUGUAUUAAAACAGUACAUAUGCAUUUCUCUUUUCUUUAAAAUGAAAAUAAUUUGUUCUGUAAAAGGACAAAUUUUGUUCUGAUUUGUAUCAAAUAAAUAAAUAUGUGCCAGAUUUAUUAUUUUGCAGGCACCUAAGAUACCAUCAGUUGUGCGUCAAGCUGUGCAAAAAUUCUAUGUCAUGUUACAGAAUCUUUCUUAAAUACAGGUAUAUGUCUGCUCAUCUGGCAAUCUUAGGACAUCACUGGAUGGUUUUGUUUAAAAAGAUUACAGAGUUAAUACACACUUCCAGCAUGAAGACCAGCCAGUUGCCUCACCUGUCCUGACAUUGUUAAAGUACUUUGUGACAGUGAAAAGACAUGGCUUUAAAUUACUGCAUCAGAGAUCAAUCCAGGUUAUAAAUCUGAGGAAAACAAUAAAGCAUCACUUCGAGCUACUUAUAUCACUGCCUUAAUAAGUUGUCUGCAUGUGUAACUAACAAAGGACAGUGACCAGUUGUACCUAUGAUAUCAGAGGGCAUCCUGAAAAACACUCAUCACUAAGAAUAGAAAACUUCAAAUGACUUUUGUAUCAAUCCUUUUGAAUUUCAUCUGGCUUGGAAUUUCAGUAGCCUUUAGCAUCCUUCAAGCAUUUCAUGAAGUACAUGUACCAAUUUGCAGGUAUAAAAUGUUUGAAACAGAUUGCUUGUCCCAAAUAAAAAAAAAUAAAUUCUCUGCCAAUUAAUAGUGUCAUAAGCAGUUGAUUGAUAUCACAGUUCCACUGGCAUAGUAUUUGUAGUUGAAUGGUGCCAUUUUUAAGAAAACUUUUCACAAAAACCUGGAAAACAUCAGAUGGAAAGGAGCAUCUACAACAAAAACAGUGAACACUUUCUUGAAUAUUAACAAUGAUAUGCCAUGUCCAUUUACAUCCUUUAUAUAAACUAAUUAACCAAAUCAUAGAGAAUUAUGUACAAAUUUGUCCUUUUGUGUAUUCAUAGUGUAUUAAAUUGAUUUUACUAAUUUAUAAAUA